rnacentral:rRNA from 1 species
CGGGGAAUAUUGGACAAUGGGCGGAAGCCUGAUCCAGCAACGCCGCGUGAGGGAUGACGGCCUUCGGGUUGUAAACCUCUUUCAGCACAGACGAAGCGCAAGUGACGGUAUGUGCAGAAGAAGGACCGGCCAACUACGUGCCAGCAGCCGCGGUAAUACGUAGGGUCCGAGCGUUGUCCGGAAUUAUCGGGCGUAAAGGGCUCGUAGGCGGUUUGUCGCGUCGGGAGUGAAAACACCGGGCUUAACUCGGUGCUUGCUUUCGAUACGGGCAGACUAGAGGUAUUCAGGGGAGAACGGAAUUCCUGGUGUAGCGGUGAAAUGCGCAGAUAUCAGGAGGAACACCGGUGGCGAAGGCGGUUCUCUGGGAAUAUCCUGACGCUGAGGAGCGAAAGUGUGGGGAGCGAACAGGAUUAGAUACCCUGGUAGUCCACACCGUAAACGUUGGGCGCUAGGUGUGGGGUCCAUUCCACGAUUCCGUGCCGCAGCUAACGCAUUAAGCGCCCCGCCUGGGGAGUACGGCCGCAAGCUAAAACUCAAAGGAAUUGNCGGGGUCAUAGCU